AUUGAACGCUGGCGGCAGGCUUAACACAUGCAAGUCGAGCGGAGAGAGGUAGCUUGCUACUGAUCUUAGCGGCGGACGGGUGAGUAAUGCUUAGGAAUCUGCCUAUUAGUGGGGGACAACAUUUCGAAAGGAAUGCUAAUACCGCAUACGUCCUACGGGAGAAAGCAGGGGAUCUUCGGACCUUGCGCUAAUAGAUGAGCCUAAGUCGGAUUAGCUAGUUGGUGGGGUAAAGGCCUACCAAGGCGACGAUCUGUAGCGGGUCUGAGAGGAUGAUCCACCACACUGGGACUGAGACACGGCCCAGACUCCUACGGGAGGCAGCAGUGGGGAAUAUUGGACAAUGGGCGGAAGCCUGAUCCAGCCAUGCCGCGUGUGUGAAGAAGGCCUUAUGGUUGUAAAGCACUUUAAGCGAGGAGGAGGCUACUUUAGUUAAUACCUAGAGAUAGUGGACGUUACUCGCAGAAUAAGCACCGGCUAACUCUGUGCCAGCAGCCGCCGUAACAC
rnacentral:rRNA from 1 species